AUUGAACGCUGGCGGCAUGCUUUACACAUGCAAGUCGAACGGUAACAGGCCUUCGGGUGCUGACGAGUGGCGAACGGGUGAGUAAUGCAUCGGAACGUGCCCAGAGGUGGGGGAUAACGCAGCGAAAGCUGUGCUAAUACCGCAUGUGAUCUGAGGAUGAAAGCGGGGGACCAGGCAGCAAUGUUUGGCCUCGCGCCUUUGGAGCGGCCGAUGUCAGAUUAGGUAGUUGGUGGGGUAAAGGCCUACCAAGCCGACGAUCUGUAGCUGGUCUGAGAGGACGACCAGCCACACUGGGACUGAGACACGGCCCAGACUCCUACGGGAGGCAGCAGUGGGGAAUUUUGGACAAUGGGCGCAAGACUGAUCCAGCAAUGCCGCGUGCGGGAAGAAGGCCUUCGGGUUGUAAACCGCUUUUGUACGGAACGAAAAGGCUCUGGCUAAUACCUGGGGCUGAUGACGGUACCGUAAGAAUAAGCACCGGCUAACUACGUG
rnacentral:rRNA from 1 species